rnacentral:tRNA from 1 species
GCGCGCGUAGCUCAGUGGUAGAGCGCUUCGUUGACAUCGAAGAGGUCGCAGGUUCAAUUCCUGCCGCGCGCA